rnacentral:rRNA from 1 species
CGGGACGGGUGAGUAACGCGUGGGUAACCUGCCUCACACUGGGGGAGUAACAGUUAGAAAUAGCUGCUAAUACCGCAUAAGCGCACGGUUCCGCAUGGAACAGUGUGAAAAACUCCGGUGGUGUGAGAUGGACCCGCGUCUGAUUAGCCAGUUGGCGGGGCAACGGCCCACCAAAGCGACGAUCAGUAGCCGGCCUGAGAGGGUGAACGGCCACAUUGGGACUGAGACACGGCCCAA